GGUCACAGCCGGCCUGGCGGAGGGACAGCCUGGAAGGAGGCCCUGGCUGUGGGCUGGGGACUAG
rnacentral:miRNA from 1 species